UAAUACAUGCAAGUCGAACGCUUUGUGCUUAAUUGAUAUGACGAGCUUGCUCUGAUUUGAUUUUUUGAUUUCAAAGAGUGGCGAACGGGUGAGUAACACGUGGGUAACCUACCUCUUAGCAGGGGAUAACAUUUGGAAACAAGUGCUAAUACCGUAUAAUACCAACAACCGCAUGGUUGUUGGUUGAAAGAUGGUUCUGCUAUCACUAAGAGAUGGACCCGCGGUGCAUUAGCUAGUUGGUAAGGUAAUGGCUUACCAAGGCAAUGAUGCAUAGCCGAGUUGAGAGACUGAUCGGCCACAAUGGGACUGAGACACGGCCCAUACUCCUACGGGAGGCAGCAGUAGGGAAUCUUCCACAAUGGGCGCAAGCCUGAUGGAGCAACGCCGCGUGUGUGAUGAAGGGUUUCGGCUCGUAAAACACUGUUAUAAGAGAAGAACGGCACUGAGAGUAACUGUUCAGUGUGUGACGGUAUCUUACCAGAAAGGAACGGCUAAAUACGUGCCAGCAGCCGCGGUAAUACGUAUGUUCCAAGCGUUAUCCGGAUUUAUUGGGCGUAAAGCGAGCGCAGACGGUUAUUUAAGUCUGAAGUGAAAGCCCUCAGCUCAACUGAGGAAUUGCUUUGGAAACUGGAUGACUUGAGUGCAGUAGAGGAAAGUGGAACUCCAUGUGUAGCGGUGAAAUGCGUAGAUAUAUGGAAGAACACCAGUGGCGAAGGCGGCUUUCUGGACUGUAACUGACGU
rnacentral:rRNA from 1 species